rnacentral:lncRNA from 10 species
AGGAAUCUCCAGGACCUUAUCUACAAUCUCAACAGUCGCGGCAACGAUCUCUGGGAGUGAUCGAGGCAUUCGGGCUGCCCCGUGCCUCCCGGGCAGCGAUCUAACGAUAAAACCUGACAGUGUCCUGGGGAAAACCCCACAUCCACCGCUAGCGCUACAUUCGGGCUUUAUGCCAAUAAGGAGACACUGUAGACUAUCGAUCAGACUCGUCUGCUCUCAGAGCGUGCGGCCGGGCUUCCAGCCUGGCCUUUAGGCGCGGUGGCGGCGGUGGGACACGCGCCAGGCGCCCAGAGAAGGACAUGGGACAAUGGCCCAGCCCGAGGACGCCAGACGCCGCCGCCCGACCCGGGGAAGGAAGCUCCUGCAGCCGGUCCGGGAACCCGAGGCGGGGAGGGAGGCCAGCUCUGGAGGUGCGCUGCCGCUUUAAAAUAAAGGACCACAAAGACUGUACAGUGGGGAAAACGCGCCUGGCUAAUGCGAGUGGGGACGACUUGGGGAGGGGGUUGAGGAAGGUAGGGGGCACACGAGCCAACGGCGGCUCACGGCUCCCCCUCUCUCCCGCCUCUCUCCUUCCUCCCUCCCCGCCGGGCUGCUCCGGCAGACAAAUAACAGAGGAAGGCGAGUCACUCACCGUGGUCUUGACAGGCACGUAGAGCACUUGCUUGGCGCCGCCGCCUCCCCCGCGGACCUCGUCCGGCUGGCCCAGCUGGAAGCCCUUCGAUUUGACCCAGAAUUUAAAUUUGGCGUUGUCCGUGGAGCUCGACUCGGAGCCAUUGAGGAGCUGGACGAUCCGUUCGUAUUUUUUACGGGUCACCGUCUUGGUCUUGCCUGAGUCCCCUUUGCAGUUCACACGGGAGGUUUCAGUUGUCUAUUUUCCCCCUGCCACGUCAUGGACACCCCCUCCACUGCUCUGAGUAGCCAAAUAUGAGUUCCUCUGGACUAUUUUUCCAAGCAGAUGAAGUCAGCAGUUGCUCCAUUCAGGACUUCCAUCCAUUUGUUUCCAGAGCUGGAAAUAGGGGAGUUCCCAUCCUCCUCGCGCGGCGGCUGCGGCCGCUCCUCUUUAUUCUACUCUCACCCGAGGCCCGCGCCCGUCCCGGGGAGCGGCUCUGCCAGGAAAACGGCCCGACCAGUGCCCGGCGCCUGGGCUGCGUCCGAGCCCACCUUCUUCCCUCGUCGUCGUCUCCCAGACUAAAUCCCGGAAAGGGAAAGCGGGAUGUUUGCGCCCACCGCGCUGUAGCUGGUCCUGACACUUGCAAA